rnacentral:lncRNA from 1 species
AACGGAAUGAGCAAGCGGUGGGCUGGGCUCACUGCAGGGCAAACCGGCCGUGCUGCACACACACACACUCUAUCUUCUGCCUGCAUCUGUGCACAUUGCAGCGAGGCCAUUAUCUGCCUGCACAUACGUACAUGCAGGGUGGGAAAAUGUAAGCUGUAGGGUGGUUGUCGCAUCAGAGCAGUGCUGUGAACUGAUCAAGAAUACGUUGAAUAUGAAAAAUUGGAAGGCUGGCCCUUAAGUGGUAAAGUACAGAGGUCUGAAACAACCCUAUGCGUGGAGGACUGGGUUGUGAACGGAAACUUGUGUAUUCAUAAAGCGGAUCUUGGUAGCUCAGGAAUGUUAGUGUAAACUUGGGGAGCUCUGGGGAAUUAUACUAAUGGUGUCAGAACUCCUAACAAUUACAAGAGACUUGAUUAAAAGUCAUAAGCUGUAAGAAAUACAAUACUGGCUAAUAGCUUCUGAAAUACUUUUGUUUCCAUAUUUGUGAGGAUUUAUUAACAGCCAGGUUCCUUUUUGCUGUUUAUUUUCUUCACCCACAGCACCAUGGGGGAGCUUGUUUAGUUUCUUUCUUUUGUUUAAAAAUCUCAUUUGCUGUAUUUCUCAAAUGUCUGUGUCAGUAAGCCAGGGUUUGGCUCAGAAUGGAUGUUAUCCCAAAAUUCUCAGUCACUGUGCUGCUUCAGAGUAUUUAUUCCUUCUUUUCCAUCAAAGACAUUGUCCACAAACUGAAGCAAAAAACCAGACUGAAGCAAGUGUACAAGAUGCCUUAUUCAUCAGGCAAAAUAAUCACACUGCUACAUUGGAGUCACGUAUUUACCAGUGUCGUGCUUCAGACAAAGAGAAUGCAUGGUCAUUCGCUCUAGAUCAUUGAGGCCACCGGAGAAAUCUCCAGUGUUUCAAAGUGUGUUUCAAAGGAGGCAACAAAAUGAAAACUUCUGAAUAACAAUAAUAUCAGCAUUUCAGAGAGGGGCUAGAAAUUAGACAAGUGAGAAUUUGGUCCUUCCAAGACUGGGUGUAUUCUGUAUUUACUUUUAAGAAUGCCAUUUAUGAACUUGUGUCUACAUAGUGAUUCAGUGGUGUUCAUUUUUCACUACGAGAGGCUCCUGCCAUCUGCAUCAGGAAUAUUUCAGAUCAGUGCAUCACAGCUCGGAUGUAAGAGCUUUGGGCUGGUUGAUCAGCCCAUUGUAAACAAGCAAUUCCAGAGAAAUCAGAGGCAUGCCAAAUUACUGAUACUGAACAUUAGUCCUGGAUUUAUUAUCAUUUUUUUAAAACUAGAACACAACCACCCAAGCCAAACCGACCAACCAGCCAAACAAAACUAUGAGGAAAAUUCAAACUAUGAGGAAAACAGAGCAAAUCAGAUCUUGCUCAUACAGGUCAGUGCUAACAAAUACUGAUGUCAGAGGUCCAAGAUCUGACCAUAAAAGCACAGCACAGGGAACCAUUAAAGCUUAGAAGAUUCUAAUCACGCAUAGCGUUGCUAGGUGUUUUUGCACACUGAGUUCCAAAACAAUAAAUUAGAUUGAUAAUUUUAUUAUUAUUAUUAUUUGAAAGUCUUUUGCACUGAAGGCAUUCCUUCAGACGUCUUUAUAGAUAACAACUUUGUAGCUUAGUGGCAGCUCUGAGCUUAGGCCAGAGCCAAGGGUUUCUCAAGAGUGGGAGCAGUUACAUGUGACUGUUAGCUGUUCCUUCCCUUUCACGGGGAAAGCGUCCAGAUGGAAAGCGAAAUUCGCAAGGGGAAACUGUAUGUCUGCUGCCAGUAACAAAGAACUCAGAGAUAGAUUACAAUGUUCUUCCCACAAUUGCCUGGCGAAAAUCUCAGGCUGGAUGUUGGGAAAAAAAGUCUUUUAGAAGAAAGGGGGAGGCGUUGGCACGGGCUGUCCGGGUGGUGGGGCCACCGUCCCUACAGGUGUUGAAGAACUGUGGAGAUGUGGCACUGAGGGACGUGGUCAGUGUGCCCAUAACGGUCGCGCCUCACUACAGAGUGGGCGAGGGGAGAAAGGGCGGCGCAGAGCGCCGGAGCCAAACCCUUCGUUUUGUUGAGGUUUUCCUACUGAGGUUCUCCACAGAACCGCCCCCUCUCCUCUCCCGCCACAAAGCCCCGCUGGGUCACGCCGGGUAACGCAGCCCCGCCGGCGGUGCCGCCCCCCCGCGGGUCGGGGUCAGAGGCGGGAGGGAGUGAGUCCUCCCAGCCGGCAGGGGGCGCUGCAGCCGGAGAGUACGCUCGGCCCCGCCGCUCCGUCGCCGCCAUCUCCUUGUCUGAUCUCAUAAAGGUGUCGCGCAGGUUCCGCCUGGACUCGUCGUCAUUCAGCCGCCCCGGGCCCGGCGCCGCCGCCGGCCUCUUCCGCGCCGCUGCCCUCGGCCAGGCGCG